rnacentral:rRNA from 1 species
AACGAACGCUGGCGGCGUGCCUAACACAUGCAAGUCGAACGAGAAAGGGGCCUCGGCUCCGAGUAAAGUGGCGCACGGGUGAGUAACACGUGGGUAACCUGCCUCUAAGAUUGGGAUAACUCGUCGAAAGAUGAGCUAAUACCGAAUAAGACCUCAGUUUCUGCGGGGACAGAGGUCAAAGGUAGCCUCUGCUUGCAAGCUAUCACUUAGCGAUGGGCCUGCGCACCAUUAGCUAGUUGGUAGGGUAACGGCCUACCAAGGCAAAGAUGGUUAGGUGGUCUGAGAGGAUGAUCGGCCACACUGGAACUGAGACACGGUCCAGACUCCUACGGGAGGCAGCAGUGGGGAAUAUUGCGCAAUGGGCGAAAGCCUGACGCAGCAACGCCGCGUGAGUGAUGAAGGCCUUCGGGUCGUAAAGCUCUGUCGGGAGGAACGAAUGCUCCUGAGGUUAACAGCCUCGGGAGGUGACGGUACCUUCAAAGGAAGCACCGGCUAACUCUGUGCCAGCAGCCGCUGUAACAC